CCAUGCUCUUUGAUUUUCGGUAUCAAACUUUCCACAGAGCUCUGGUCUUUUCUUUGCAAAAAGUUGGAAAUCUUCUAUUUUGUUGAAUGCCCAUACUUUCCCUUGGAAGUAUAUAGUCAGUUUUGCUGGGUAGCUGAUUCUUGGUUGGAGACCCAGCUCUCUUGCCUUUCUGAAGAUCAUGGUCCAUGCCUUACGAUCAUUCAGAGUAGAACUUGCAAGGUCUUGUGUGACCCUGAUUGGUAUUCCUUUAUAUCUAAAUUGUCUUUUUCUGGCUUCCUGUAGGAUUUUUUCUUUUGUUUGAGAGCUUUGGAAUUUGGCAAUUACAUUCCUGGGAGUUGUCUUUUGGGGGUUUAGUGUAGAAGGUGUUCUGUGAGCUCUGUCAGUGGCUGUAUUGCCCCCUUGUUCUAGAUCUCUGGGCAAUUUUCUUUGAUUAUAUCUUGUAUCACGGUGUCGAGUUUGGUGUUUAUUUCUGGCUUCUCUGGAAGUCCAAUUAUUCUUAAAUUAUCUCUUCUCCCUCUAUUUUCCAGAUCUGUCACCUUGUCAGUGAGAUAUUUUAUGUUCUCUUCUAAUUUCUUGGUGUUUUGGCUUUGCUUUAUUAAUUCUUGCUCUUUUACAUGAUCGUUGUCUUCCAGCUGCCUGAUUCUGGCCUUUAAAGCCUGGUUGUCCUUUUAACUUUGGUCAAACUGGUUUUGUAGAUGCGUGAAUUUCUUUUGCAUUAUUUCCCACUUUUCCUCCCAGAAGGCUUCCAUCUUUUUGGUCAUUUCUGAUUCAAAUUCUUCAUGGGUUUGUGGAGAGUUUCCAUUUCCUUUGGAAGGUUUCGGAGCAUUUUCUUGUGUAUCGUCUUCUAUCUCCUCUGUAUUUUGUAUUUUGGCUCCAUAGAAUGUGUCCAAAGUCACCCCUUUCUUCUUAUUUUUCUUGGUAUUUUCUGAUUCAAAUUCUUCAUGGGUUUGUGGAGAGUUUCCAUUUCCUUUGGAAGGUUUCGGAGCAUUUUCUUGUGUAUCGUCUUCUAUCUCCUCUGUAUUUUGUAUUUUUGCUCCAUAGAAUGUGUCCAAAGUCACCCCUUUCUUCUUAUUUUUCUUGGGAUUUUGAGGCUUCUGUGCUUCUGUGGAGUUUGGCCAUCUCUGAAUGGGGAGGAUUAGCUUUUCUUAUCUCUAUCUGGUGUUCAGAGGUUUUAGUCCUGGGCAGAUUGUCCGUUCUAUGAGCUUUCCCUGGGUUGAACUGAGUAUGCCUUAAGACAGUGACUUUCACUGGAACUGGAAUGGAAGGAUCCGGCCAGGGGGUUACACUCUCCCCCGGCUCUCUCUGUUUCCCUGCUGUUUGGGUGCCCCCUCGACUGGGUCAGGUUGCUUUCUGGAAGUUGCCUUCAGAAUAGCUGGCCGUGAGGUUGUCUUGCCAGCCCUGAGGGUUACUGUUGUUUCAGACGACCCUGCUCUCUGAGGGGGGAGGGGCUGCAGCUUCCCAGAGCUCUGAGGGCAGUGACUUUCACUGGAACUCAGAUGGAAGGAUCUGGCCAUGGGGUUACAAUCUCAGGUCUAAGUUUCCCUCUGUAGCCUUGGACUCGGCGCUCCUACCCCUUAGGUCCGAGUGAUCUCGGGUUCUGGCUUUUGAGGGGGGCCGUACCUUUUGAUACAGGUCCAGGUCCAGGAGGAGGAUUCCCAAGGUCUAAGCUGUUGAUUGUUUUGAAUUUCGGCACCCUAGGAGCAUAUAGUUUGAGAUUG
ensembl:lncRNA